rnacentral:rRNA from 1 species
CUAUGCGCCUUGCCAGCCCGCUCAGGUGUGCCAGCCGCCGCGGUAAUACGUAGGGAGCGAGCGUUGUCCGGAUUUACUGGGUGUAAAGGGUGCGUAGGCGGCAAUGCAAGUCAGAUGUGAAAUCUAUGGGCUCAACCCAUAAACUGCAUUUGAAACUGCGUUGCUUGAGUGAAGUAGAGGCAGGCGGAAUUCCCCGUGUAGCGGUGAAAUGCGUAGAGAUGGGGAGGAACACCAGUGGCGAAGGCGGCCUGCUGGGCUUUAACUGACGCUGAGGCACGAAAGCGUGGGUAGCAAACAGG